rnacentral:misc_RNA from 1 species
GACUCGAUGGUUCAAGGGAUUCUGAAAUUCUCACAACUUAUCUCAAUUCCCUACCUUCUUCAUCGAUGCCAGAGCUCASAUAUCCGUUGCCAAGAGUCGUUUUAGACUUUAUAUCUGUGAAUUGCAUAAUCCCUCGCACCGUCUCCGGGGAGGCAAAAAGAUGGCCGUUCUGUUGCAUGUUCCAUGRCACUUUUGCUGGGGUGGUUUUGUGAUAUCCCCCCMCUACGCGCAC